GCCCAGAUAGCUCCGUUGGUUGGAGUGAGGUGCUGAUAACGCCCAGGUUGCAGGUUUGAUCGCUAUAUGUUCCUGCUUUGCAGAGGGCUGGACU